rnacentral:rRNA from 1 species
UACGUAGGGUGCAAGCGUUGUCCGGAAUUAUUGGGCGUAAAGAGCUCGUAGGCGGUUUUGUUGCGUCGGCUGUGAAAUCCCGAGGCUCAACCUCGGGUCUGCAGUCGAUACGAGCAAACUAGAGUGUUGCAGGGAAGACUGGAAUUCCUGGUGUAGCGGUGAAAUGCGCAGAUAUCAGGAGGAACACCGGUGGCGAAGGCGGCCAUCUGGACCGCAACUGACGCUGAGGCGCGAAAGCGUGGGGAGCAAACAGG